CCUGGAAGGAGACAUGAGGCGUUCAAAGCGCAUGUCCUCCGACGGACACAGCGGGCCAGCACUGCGUGGACACGGGGCUAACAUUACCCAGUUUCUGAGCCUUUAACUGGGAACAAAGACAACAAACCGGAUGCCUCUAUGAUCCAGCUAACCUUACGGCGAGACAUACAGUGUUCAGUUUACACAAGCAGACGUGAGCCAUGGCUGAGCCAAAUGCCUCCCGUCCACAGAGGAAGAUGUCCACAGCUGGGGAGAGUGUUUACAAGGUCCUAGGACUGGAGAAAGGAGCCUCAGCUGAGGACAUCAAGAAAGCCUACAGGAAACUCGCACUGAAGUAUCACCCAGAUAAAAACCCAGACAACCCAGAGGCAGCUGAGAAGUUUAAAGAGAUUAACAACGCCAAUUCAAUUUUAACUGACGAGACCAAGAGGAAGAUUUAUGACGAGUAUGGCUCUAUGGGCCUUUAUGUGUCCGAACAGUUCGGAGAGGAAAGUGUCAAAUACUACUUCCUCAUGUCCAAGUGGUGGUUUAAGGGUUUGGUCCUGUGUUGUACGCUCUUCAGUUGUUGCUGCUGUUGCUGCUGCUGUUGUUUCUGCUGCGGGAAGUGUAAGCCACCCGAUGAUGACGAAAACUAUCAGUAUGUUGACCCCGAAGACCUGGAGGCCCAAAUUAAAGCAGAGCAGGACGGAGGUAACACAGUAAUCAUAGGCCAGCCCACAUCUAAGCUGAGUCCUGAAAGCCCAGAAGGCCAGCAGAGCCAGCCCAUCCCCCUCCCAUUGCCCAUGCCACCACCUGAGCCCCAGUCGCCAACCGCAGCCAGUCCAGCGGGGGAAGAAAACCCCGGAGAGACGUUACCAGAGUCGAAAUGACUCGAAAGUGACGGUAUGGAUGAGCCUCAACUAUCAGAAGCAGGUCAUUUCCUCCUAUCGAGUUCCUGUUACAAUCCAGCCACAUCUGACUGCUGCCAGCGACCCAGAGACCAACCAGCCCAAAGCCACCAGCCAGCCCCAGCCCACGCCUCCAUCCUGACAACAAACAUCUCCUAACAGUAAUGUACCUGACCCUCCGACUGAAAACGCCCGUCAGGUGCCCUCCCUCCCUCUGCAGAACUGGAAGAUGGCGGUCUGUUCAUGCACAUUCGCCUCCUCGCUGAGCUCUGAAAAUCCAUCAGUAAAAGAGCCAGACCAGCUUAGAGGUACAAGGCCAACCAGUCAUGUGCAGUGGCUUUUAUUUUUCUCCCCAGUCUCUUUUUUUCCCGCCCCCUGCAUAGUCUGGGCUCGACGUGGCCUUCCUCGCUGUUCAGUCAUCCAGGGCUAGGCUUGUCAACAUGCCUGUACUCCUUACUAAUCUGUUUUCACCAUCCCAUUUCAACUAGUAAGGGGGAAAACAGGUCAAAACGGGGGACAAAGAAAGUGUGGAAAGGUGAUCCUUAUUGUUUAUGCUUAAAAUCCAGACCAGGACUGGACUGAUUCUCUUUAUUUUUUAGGUUCUUUGUUGUCUGUCCCAGCCAUCCCUGCAUUAACUACAGCCAUUUUGGACUUCAACAGAUGGGUUUUCAAUUUUUUUCCCCCCAUAGCUUUUUACUUGCUUCUAAACAUCUUUGAAAAAUCAAACCCGUGAGAAAUCAUGUUAAAAUCACUCCAGUUUUAUAAUGGGGUGCCUAAUGGUCAUCAUAAACAAAGAACUACUUUUUCCCCCCAUUUCUCCCUCCAUCUCGUCUUAUUUUAUUCAUCACAAUCGGCAAAAAUUCCUUCUCUUCACUGUAAUGUAACUUACUGCUGAGUUUAAAAAACUGUUUAAUCGGAGGAGGUGGAGAGAGCUACAUUUACUACAGUUGUGAAUUUUUUUACAUUUCACAUGAACGCACAUCUGAAAAGAGAAAGAACGUGACAAAACCAGACUGACUGUUUGGUUGGAUGCAAAAUGUCUGAGCCAAAAACGGGAGCUAAGGUUUUAGGUUUUAGAGGGUCAGUUAGGAGUAGAAGUGAGGUUUUGUUUUGUUUUUUUUGUUUUUUUUGUUUUUUUUCCUCCCCCAUCAACAUGCAUGCAUUUUUGUCCUGGUGCAUGCCCCUAAUGACUGUACAGCACGGGAAUACACACCCCAAACCACACCCAUGGAAGAGCCACCUGACCUUCCCAAACAGACAUUCAGACUCUGGUUACACUCGUGCUUUACAACAACACACACUUAUACCAACUCCUAUGUCAACCUGUGUGAAAAAGUGACCCCCUUCUGAUUAAUCUCAGCUCAAAUGGAGAGUGAAAAAGGCCAUGUGAUGAAGAAGAAACUUGGUACUGAAGUUUAAACCAGAAGAUUAACUUUUUCCACAGUUUUUUUUUUUGUCAUCUGUAUUAAUUUUUUUUUUUUUUUUGGUAGACCAAAGCUAACAGCUCCAUGUAGCCAUCCAUAUUUAGUCAGGACCACACUGGUUGAAAUGUCAUUUGCUCUGAAAACCACAGUUCUGUUUGUCAAAGCAGUUUGUAUAUUAUGCAUCUUGGUCACCGUAUGAAGCGGGUCCGUUAAUUUUUUUUUCUUCUGUUUUUUUAAGUACCUCAUGCUUCCAGAACUACACUAACCGAUCUAUCUCAGGUCCAGAUUCACUAAGGCUGCAUUACAGAGAAAUCUUUUUUAUUAGAUUUUUGAUUGCACUUCUUCUUGCAUCUUGUUUUUUUUUUUUUUUUAACUCAUAGAUUAUCCAAAUGGGUCAUGGAAAAACAGAAUAAAUAAGGUUGUCUGCCAGCUCAGUGCUGUUUUCAAUUAGGUCCUGCAUUUUAUAAUAACAGAAACCUUGUAUUAUCACCAUAAAAUUCUCUGACCUAUCUUAUGUUUACAACAUAGAAAACUUGCUCACUUCCUGACUAUGCUGUGCCUUGAAAAAUAACUGCAGCAUCAGUGAUUUUUGCCGCAGUAUUGUGUUGUCACCUUUACAUGUUGUACAAUAAUGUGAAAUUGUUUUGCACGGUGACCGGUACGCAGCUUUCCACAUUCAGGAUACAGGGUGAUUAGUGUGGCUUUCUAAUUCUUCUCUGCACAAACAGUUAGUGAAUCUGGAUCAGCUUUUAUUUGAUUUAUAAAGUGAGGAUAAUCUAACAUCUAAUACAAUUUUAUCCACCUGACUGCAAGUUAACAUGUUUUUAUUAUUUUUUAAGUUGAUUUGUUUUCAUUGCAUAGACAGACUUCAUGAGUGUUUUUAUAUCACUUUUGGAUGUCGAGCACCAUCUGUUUGGGAAAUCCUGCAUAAAACUGAUCGUUUAUCAUUAAUACAGUUUACUUGAACUAUUCACUACAAUAGUACUUUUAGUAUUAGUUCUGGUGUGACUCAGUUGAUAAGUUUUGCCUAUUAAAAAAAAAAAAAAAAAAAGAAUUUCCCCUUGGUUUGAGUUCUUUUCAUACUGGGCAAAAAAUCCAAGCAAAUCAAAAUGUGUCUGCACAAACCACCUUUAUUUAUUAGCUGCGUCUUAAGCCAGGAGCAAUAAGUUAAAUAUUUUUAAUAAAGGUAAAAUGGGUCACAAUGAAGGAUUGUCACUCUACAUAGAUGUCCUUGGAAAUAAAUUGUAUUCACUCGGGAGAACAGAUUUCUUUAAUAGACUACAAUAAAAAAUCCAACCGUCAAAUUUACAUUCUAUUCAGUAAAAAAUGAAAUGCAGAAAGGACCAUUCUCGCUAAUCACAAUAUUCAAAUGAGAAAGUAAAUGCAGGAACAAGUUCUGUAAGAGGUUUAUUCUCCUAGAAUGAAAAGCUGAAGACAGACGGUAUUUGACUUCCACUUGUAGACAGUCUCAAACCUGACCAAAGUCAUCAAGUGGGAAAACAAGCUAGAAUUUAAUUUAACCAGAAUAGAGCCAGAGUCAGCUCUACAUGGAUCAAAUAGUGUACUCUGCUCUGUUAGAAGUCAGAGGUCAACCACAGUUUCAUCCAUAGAAGAAACUAAGAAAAGUAAAUAGAGCUGAAGCCCUGCCCCUUCUGGUUGUUUCCCAUAGGACAAAAUUAUGUAACAGUCAAAGGUGAGAGACAAGUCAUUUUUGAUCUCCAUUGGAUUGUGCAUCAUUUAUAGAUAUGAUGUUUCUGCAAAUUAGAAGAUAAUUUUACAGGUCAAGAACAUUGCAGUUUGUGGUAAAACUGUUGAACUAUCAGAUUGUGAAAAUACGCAAAUACAAAGACCACGCACCAGAAAGUUAAGGAGGCAAUGUCAUAGUAACUGAUCAUUAUCUUUUCAGAAUCAUUGAUUAACUCAUAUGUGCAGCUUCAGCAUGACCACACUUGUCGUGAUUUUUACAUCUGUUCAUACUUUUUUCACCUCACGCUGAAGCGAAAUAUACAAAGGCAGGGGCAGUUUUGAUGAUGAUGCAGUUCAUUGAAUGGUUUCACACAUUUUUACAACUUUUUUCACACAGAUGUUUAUCUUCGUCAUAAACUGGAUUUCUUGGCUCGUAAAAGCAUACUUUAAAUUGACAAAUAUAUUUAUGGCGUGGUGGCACAAUUCAUACGCAAUCAAAAAAUGAUCUCUUGGCAUUGAUGUCUGUUCAUAUUUUUUCUAAAGUUGGACCUUGUGUGGGGCAGGGAAAGGGAUGGCCUCUUGGAUUUAUUUGUUUUUAACUCAAAAUGUUUGUGUUUUUUGAAUCAUGCGGACUUGUGUUAAAUUUCAUCUGGUACUUUCAUGUCAUAUUUAAAGUUAAAAUAUGAGAAUCAUAACAUUAGAAUGGUAUUUUUUGGAAGCACUUUAAUUUUGCUCUUAAGUUUGACCCAAAUUCUCUAGUCACAAGCAUCUGAAUACGCUCAAUAUUUCACCAUGCAGCAUUUGGGGAACUGUGAUGGCCUCAAUUAAUUACAUAGAACAUACUGUAUUAAGCUAAGUGUUAGUUUUUUUGGUGGGAAAGUGUCCAAUGCAUAGUGUUGUUGGUUUUAGGUGAUUGGUUUUUUUUUUUGUUUUUUUUUCAUGGAAAUAUCUUCCUGUUAAGGUGGCACAGUGAAAUUUUAAGUGUUUUUGUUUUGUUUUUUUUCUCAGAUGCUUAAUAAUGCUAUAGUUUCUCUGUGCAUCUACCUAAAGUCAACGCCAUACUAGUAAACUACUACUGUGGUAACAUUGCAACCCUCAGCCAAGCUCUUUGUUCCCUUUUGUCCAUUUUAAAGUGGAAACCUGCCAAGAUUAAAAUUAUCCUUUAAACUUUAAAUCAGCUCAUAACUGUCAACAAAAAUAAUCCAAACUUUAUCGACAUCCUUUUAUCUGAAACUUCCUUAUCCGUCAGCCAAACCUCUCAUGUGGUCUCAGAACAUUUCAACAUUUUCAUGCUAUAAUUUUGUCUUCCUUCAGAUGCAUGAGACUGCAGUGGUGCCAUGGAGCACUGAAAGAGGACCUAUGAUUAUUUAUUAUUUUGUAAUUGUUGUAAAUAAGACCGUAUCUCAUAAUUCAGCAAAGUGACUGACAGAUUUCCUUGUUGUUAAUGGAAAUGUUUUAUGAACCAGUGUCUCUUUUAACAGUGUACAUACAUUUUUAUUUUGAUUUUUAUGUCGCAUUGACAUAAUUUAAUUUUAACCUGAAGAAGCAGCGGCAGUGGGGUUGUCAACUUGUUGGUCAAUUUGGGUGUUAAAAGACGAGCUCAGACUGUUUAGUGAUAAUGCAUUCGACGUUCUUCUCAUCACUUUUUAAAUAUGUUGACCGGUCGACAAUCAACCACCAGAAGUUGCUGUAUGUCUCUAAACAUUGGUGAGGACGAUGCAAGUGAAGGCGUUUUAUCAUUAUAGAAGGGUUUUGUUUGUUUUUUGGGGAUGUGUUGCUCACUGUUGUGGUUCCCUGUGGAUGAUCUGUAAAUGAGUUAUUAGAAAUUCAACCAAAUAAAAGGGGGAUUUUAUAACA